rnacentral:misc_RNA from 1 species
GGCAGAUUCUCUUCUAGAGUGCAAAAUUAUAAGACAAGGAAAAGCAGAAUCUCUAUACCUCCCCAUAUUAUACUCUAAUUUCUAAGACCUUUGAUGAUAGAUAUUGCUCAUUUCUAUUUGACUAUGAAGGCAUGCAUACCAGUGCAAGUAUUUUCUUUCUCUUGGUCUCUGUUCUCUUCUACUUCAUACACUAUCAUCUUAGCUUCUUCAACCAACUGAACAAUGAUUUAGCCUCAAACAAACAGAAUCAGUUAUACUGAUCCUUUUCUCUCCCUUUUAUUCUGUUUAGGCUAAAUUUCCAUAGGGUUGCUAAGAUAUUAAAACACUCUUCACAGCUUCAAACCAAAUCACUUUGGCUCCACUCAUCUCUCUUUCUCUUUCAUAUUCUACACUCCUACAACUUGAAAGACUCAACUUUCCACAUCAAUGAACCCUUUGACUAUACCGAAUAUUUGUCAAACCUUUUUAAAUGACCUAACCGAACUUAUCAUCAGUGUGUGCCACUUUCAACUUUUGCAAUUGCAUUAAUGUAUGCCAUUUUUAGUCUACCCCCUCGAUUCUUUUUUUUUUUUUUU